GGCUUAAUACAUGCAAGUCGAACGGUAAGGCCGAGGGUAGCAAUACCCGAGGCACACGAGUGGCGCACGGGUGCGUAACGCGUAUGCAACCUGCCCCCGACCGGGACAAAACGCUGAGAAAUCGGCGCUAAUAUCCCAUGCUGACCCGGGGCGGCAUCGCCUUUGGUCGAAAGAUUCAUUGGUCGGGGAUGGGCAUGCGUGGCAUUAGCUGGUUGGCGGGGUAACGGCCCACCAAGGCGACGAUGCCUAGGGGUUCUGAGAGGAAGGUCCCCCACACUGGAACUGAGACACGGUCCAGACUCCUACGGGAGGCAGCAGUAGGGAAUAUUGGGCAAUGGGAGCAAUCCUGACCCAGCCAUGCCGCGUGAAGGAAGACGGCCCUACGGGUUGUAAACUUCUUUUGCCAGGGAGUAACCGUCGCGACGUGUCGCGGCCUGAGAGUACCUGGCGAAUAAGCAUCGGCUAACUCCGUGCCAGCAGCCGCGGUAAUACGGAGGAUGCGAGCGUUAUCCGGAUUCAUUGGGUUUAAAGGGUGCGCAGGCGGACGGCCAAGUCGUUGGUGAAAUCCCGCCCCUCAACGGUGGACGGGCCUACAAAAUUGGUCCACUG
rnacentral:rRNA from 1 species